GCUGGCGGGAAGGCUGCGCUGGGAGGGGCCCGGCGGGGGCCGGGCAGAGAUGGACCACGUGCCUCCCGAGCUGGGGCGGGGGAGCCCAGAGAAUUAGACCGGAGGGGUGGGAAGGGAGGGGCUUGUUGGUCCCAGCUCUAGGGGCCGGCGCAAGCAUCUGGGGUACAAGAUAGAAGCCGAGUUAAAGUACGUUCUUCUGUGUUGCCCCCUCUCUUCCAGGGCAUUACUUGCGCGCUCCGCUAGCUUUGCAGGAAGUGGAAGCUGCGCCUCGGCUUCUCGCCGGGUCGGAACACCCCCUUGGUCCUGGUCCUGGUCCUGGUGCUGGUCCUGGUCCCAUUACUUAGCUCCGUUACCAGGCAAGGGGUGCCUGCCUUCCGAGGGCCGGGCCUGGGGCCUGGGGCCUGGGCUGGCCAUGGUGACGCGUUCCGGAGGUGCUGCGGGAAGCGGAGGGACGGUGGGCGGAAAAUGACGCGUUCGGCAGAUCUGAUUCAUCCCCUCUGACCAAGUCCCCGCAACAGUCUCCCAGCUACAACUGAUUGUCUCUGAUGAUUAAAUGACAAUGGAGCUUCGCUGCAGAAUACUCUUAAAAGAAGGGUGUGACCACAGUGACCUACUGAGAAAGAUGCAAAACAAACAGGAAAUAACCACAACGUGUAAUUUCAGGAAAAUAUAGUCGAUCAAUUAUUGGGGACUUCAUUUCUUCU